GUGCUUGCUUCAGCAGCACAUAUACUAAAAUUGGAAUGAUAUAGAGAAGAUUAGUAUGGCCCCUAUGCAAGGAUAACACGCAAAUUCACGAAAUGUUCCAUAUUUUU
ensembl:snRNA U6 U6 spliceosomal RNA